rnacentral:rRNA from 1 species
GACAGAGGCCCCAAGCGUUAGGCGGAAUCACUGGGCUUAAAGCGUGUGUAGGCGGAUCGUUAAGUGUCUUGUGAAAUCCCACGGCUCACCCGUGGAACUGCUGGGCAUACUGGCGAUCUUGGGCCAACUAGGGGCAGUCGGAACAAGCGGUGGAGCGGUGAAAUGCGUAGAUAUCGCUUGGAACGCCGAAGGUGAAAACAGACUGCUGGGGUUGCGCCGACGCUGAGACACGAAAUCCAGGGGAGCAAACGGG